rnacentral:lncRNA from 1 species
CCAGGAUUUCUGGGAGUUGAAGUCCAAGAACUUUUGGAGGCCCAAGGUUGGGGGGAAAAUCACUGUUAUAAAGGGUUAAACAACAAGAGAUGGAUUCCUAGAAAGGAACUUAGAUUAGAAAUUCUGGUGGUUUGAACAGAGAGAGAAGAUUCCUAGAGAGUGAUCCUCCGAGACAAGAAUAGAGAUCAGAGAGACACGGAUUCCUAGAGGGAAAACACGCCAGACAAGAGAGAGAGUCUGGCUUUUUAGCGAAUGAAGAGAGGCUGGAAAGAUGGUUGGAAACAUGAUCCUUGAAGAAGCCAAAAAGCGAUGGCUGUUUUAAGGGCGGGUUUCAGCUUCCUUUUCCUCUGCCCACUGGGAAUUGCAUGGAGGAGCCCUUCCCUUCCAUUCGAACCAGUUUCCAGGCCGUUUGGACCAGUAAUUAAGGAAUUGAUUUUCCUUUGGAUGUUCUUUGCCUUAAGAGAGAGCCUGGCAGAAAAAAGAAAGCCAUUUUUGAUCACGUCGGAGGCAGGUUGUAUAAAGAAUUGGAGAACAGAGAAGAGGAGCUGACCAACCUAGAAGUUAGAACUUCUCAACCCCCUCAGGCCGGUUCUGAAUGACUCUGGGAUAAAAAUGGGGAGACCCCCUUCAAUUUAGACGUCCAGCGCUAAAGCCACAGCAACAAGCAAA